rnacentral:sRNA from 1 species
UAUAAUGCAAGGCUGCUUGCAGACGGAGCGAUAUAUCUAUUAGAUGGGCAAACAGGCAUGAGCAAAAAGGGUGAUAACCCGAUUUGCGAAUGUAUGUUGUGAUUUCGAGAGUUCGCAGAACGGAGAAAUC